CCCUUAGAUGUUCUGGGCUGCACGCGCGCUACACUGAAGCGUUCAACGAGUAUUCACCUUGCCCGGGAGGGUUGGGUAAUCUUUUGAAAACGCUUCGUGAUGGGGAUAGAUUAUUGCAAUUAUUAAUCUUCAACGAGGAAUUCCUAGUAAGCGCGAGUCAUCAGCUCGUGCUGAUUACGUCCCUGCCCUUUGUACACACCGCCCGUCGCUCCUUCCGAUUGAGUGAUCCGGUGAAUAAUUCGGACUGCAGCACUGCUUGGUCUCCAGGCUUUGCAGCGGAAAGUUUAGUGAACCUUAUCACUUAGAGGAAGGAGAAGUCGUAACA
rnacentral:rRNA from 1 species